rnacentral:rRNA from 1 species
CCUACGGGUGGCAGCAGUGAGGAAUAUUGGUCAAUGGACGAGAGUCUGAACCAGCCAAGUAGCGUGAAGGAUGACUGCCCUAUGGGUUGUAAACUUCUUUUAUAUGGGAAUAAAAUGUUCCACGUGUGGGAUUUUGUAUGUACCAUAUGAAUAAGGAUCGGCUAACUCCGUGCCAGCAGCCGCGGUAAUACGGAGUUUCCGAGCGUUAUCCGGAUUUAUUGGGUUUAAAGGGAGCGUAGGUGGAUUGUUAAGUCAGUUGUGAAAGUUUGCGGCUCAACCGUAAAAUUGCAGUUGAAACUGGCAGUCUUGAGUACAGUAGAGGUGGGCGGAAUUCGUGGUGUAGCGGUGAAAUGCUUAGAUAUCACGAAGAACUCCGAUUGCGAAGGCAGUUCACUGGACUGCAACUGACACUGAGGCUCGAAAGUGUGGGUAUCAAACAGGAUUAGAUACCCCAGUAGUC